rnacentral:lncRNA from 1 species
CCUUGCACGAGGAUUUGGGCCUUGCACGAGGAUCAGGCCUUGUACAAGGAUCAGGCCUUGCACGAGGAUUUGGGCCUUGCACGAGCACAAUCCUUACACAAGGAUUUGGGCCUUGCACGAGGAUUUGAGCCUUGAACGAGAAUUUGGGCCUGCCAUGAGGAUCAGGCCUUGCACGAGGAUCGGGCCUUGCACAAGGAUUUGGGCCUUGCAUGAGGACAAUCCUUGCACAAGGAUUUGCUCAGUUGAAGUGGAAUUUGCACGAGAAUCAGUCCUUGCACAAGCAUUUGGGCCUUGCACGAGGAUUUGGGCCUUGCACGAGGAUCGGGCCUUGCACGAGGAUUUGGGCCUUGAACGGAGGACAAUCCUUGCACGAGGAUUUGCUCACUUGAAGUGGAAUUUGCACGAGGAUCAGGCCUUGCACAAGCAUUUGGGCCUUGCACGAGGAUCAGGCCUUGUACAAGGAUUUGGGCCUGGCAUGAGGACAAUCCUUGCACAAGGAUUUGCUCAGUUGAACGUGGAGUUUACACGAGGAUUUGGGCCUUGCACGAGGAUUUGGGCCUUGAACGAUGAUCGGGCCUUACACAAAGACAAUCCUUGCACGAGGAUUUGCUCACUUGCACAUGGAAUUCGCACAAGGAUUGGGCCUUGCACGAGGACAAUCCUUGCACGAGGAUUUGCUCACUUGACCAUGGAAUUUGCACGAGGAUCGGGCCUUGCACGAGGAUUUGGGCCUUGCACGAGGAUUUGCUCACUUGAAUGUGGAGUUUACACGAGGAUUUGGGCCUUGAAUGUGGAGUUUGCACAAGGAUCAGGCCUCACACAACCAUAAUCCUUGCACGAGGAUUUGGGCCUUGCACGAGGACAACCCUUGCACAAGGAUUUGCUCACUUGAAGUGGAAUUUGCACGAGGAUUUGGGCCUUGCACGAGGAUCAGGCCUUGCACGAGGAUCAGGCCUUGCACAAGGAUUUGGGCCUUGUACAAGGAUUUGGGCCUUGCACGAGGACAAUCCUUGCACGAGGAUUUGCUCACUUGAAGUGGAAUUUGCACGAGGAUUUGGGCCUUGCACGAGGAUCAGGCCUUGCACAAGGAUUUAGGCCUUGCACGAGGACAACCCUUACACGAGGAUUUGCUCACUUGAAGUGGAAUUUGCACGAGGAUUUGGGCCUUGCACGAGGCCGGGGCUCACACCCGGGCACGCUCCCCGCUCGUGCCAGGCCAGCCCCGGGAGUGAGCGUGAGUGUGAGCGUGAGUGUGAGCGUGAGCAGGGCUGGGGGUCUCGCACAGGGCCGUGCACGCUCGUGUGAGGCACGGGGAGGGGUCGGGGGCGUGCAAGGGGGGUUUGCACAAGGGUCGCCCCCAGUGCCACGCAGGGCCGGCGUGGAACGGC